rnacentral:sRNA from 1 species
UAAGGUUCGACUCGAGCGAAGCGAGAGAACGUUGCCGCAGGCAACGGCCCGAAGGGCGAGGCGCUUUAGCGCCGAGUAAUCCUUCCCCCACCACUG